CAUCACUCGAACGACACCGCUCCGAGCAACUCCUGAACAAUGGCUUCUUUCUUUAACCUGAGCCUGAUUGCCCUGGCGGUGAUGAUGAUGGCGGCUGGCGCCAUUGCUGAUCCUGAUCCUAAACCUUUCCCUGCGCCUGGCAAAGGCAAAGGCGGGGGCAAAGGAAAGGGCAAAGGACACUGAAGAAUGCACAACGGUCUUGAUGGGAUUUAUUAUGACGGUUAUUACAUAAUUGCCUUAUAUGUUUUGACACGACGACCUUGAAUAAAAAUCCAGCAAAAUUUG
rnacentral:lncRNA from 1 species